AUGAAUAGGUGCCAAUGCUACACUUCCUUAGCUAGGAGCUAGCAAUGCUACGUGGAAUUGCAUGUCGAAAAUAUUUAAAAAGUCAACCUGCCAUCUCUCCUGCCCUGCUCGUCCAAGUUCCCACUCUAGUUCCAGUACUGGCAGGCUUCACCACUAUAUCCCAGCAGGGUCCUGCUUGGCAUGUUCUCCCAGGUAUCUUCUGAGAGGUUGUUCUCUCUCCACUUCUCAUUCAAGUCUGAAGAUGCUUACAGUCACCUGCAGUACUUCUAAAUCAGAGUUUUGAGAUGGAAGAGGUCACAGCUCCAAUGAUCUCAGCCGAAGAAGAUGAGGAAGAAGACCAGCACAAGUGCUACGACUCAGUGACCUCAUGGGAAACCGUGGGGAGAGAUAGCAUUCAAGAAGGAACAUGGGGAAGAGUAUCCAGAGUACAGAGUGGAAGCCUUUGCCCUCCUCUUUCAGCUCUCCAAGGAAUGUCUUCCUGCCCGGUGUCCUGGACAACUGCCUGUCUUUAGAAUUAACAAAUGCUCUGACUUGCAGAGUCUCUCUCAAAUCAGCUUUUGCUGGUAUCAGGAUUUCUCUGGAGGACUCAACAAAGUCCUCUCCAUGCCUGAGAUUCCUACAAUGAUUGAAAUUCCAUUGUUUCUUCCCCGUGGCAUCCAGCCCACUGUACGCUGUGGCAUUUGGACAGGUUCUUGCCUCGAGUUCCUGCUCUGCCUUCAUUUCACUAUACCUAGAAGCUGAAAUAAACUAUUUCCUCCACAAGU
rnacentral:lncRNA from 1 species